rnacentral:rRNA from 1 species
GACGAACGCUGGCGGCGCGCCUAACACAUGCAAGUCGAACGGAGUCAAGAGGAGCUUGCUUUUCUUGACUUAGUGGCGAACGGGUGAGUAACGCGUGAGUAACCUGCCCUGGAGUGGAGGACAACAGUUGGAAACGACUGCUAAUACCGCAUAAGCCCACGGAUCCGCAUGGAUCUGCGGGAAAAGGAUUUAUUCGCUUCAGGAUGGACUCGCGUCCAAUUAGCUAGUUGGUGAGGUAACGGCCCACCAAGGCGACGAUUGGUAGCCGGACUGAGAGGUUGAACGGCCACAUUGGGACUGAGACACGGCCCAGACUCCUACGGGAGGCAGCAGUGGGGGAUAUUGCACAAUGGGGGAAACCCUGAUGCAGCGACGCCGCGUGGAGGAAGAAGGUUUUCGGAUUGUAAACUCCUGUCGUUAGGGACGAUAAUGACGGUACCUAACAAGAAAGCACCGGCUAACUACGUG